CUGGAAGAACACCAGGUUGAUAGGUCAGAGAUGUAAGCAUGGCAACAUGUUAAGUUGACUGAUACUAAUAAGUCGAGGGCUUGACCAAAUAA
rnacentral:rRNA from 1 species